rnacentral:lncRNA from 1 species
GAAUGGAGUCCCUGGGCAGGUGCAGCAUCCAUAUUCUUACUAGAGUGAAGACGGAUAUUGGAACUGAGUCUGAGAUUGGCUUUGGCAUCCUGGUAUGUUGCGGUACCAAGAAGGAAAAGAGAAAGAGAUAUUUUUAGCCUCUGUUAUUAGAGCCCAAGAGGGCAGAAGGGAGAAGGAAGAGAAACAGAGAGGAGAACAGCCAAACAAGCGGAUGUAUGGACGCAUAAGUAGGCUGUGCCUCUUUGGCCAGCAGCGGAGAGAGUGGUGACAUAAGGUGACGUGGGACCAGGGACUUCCUUCAGAAGAUAGGGAUUGUGGGCGACUUCCCACUGAGGCUUUGGAUGUCUUUGCACUGGGUGGA